AAUAUGAGCAAAACCCUUUUCCACUACCUUCCUUGGAAGAAAAUAUUGCAUGAAAUCCUUUUCAUAUGUGGCCAACAAUGGCACAUACACCAACUUCCUGCCUAGCACAAUAGCUUUAUGAAGCCAUUCACGGUUUUAGAGCAGAAGGAUCUCCUAGCACAAAUGAGUGUGACAUUACAAGUCGCGACCUUUUUAUAAAAAGUCUAUGGUUUCGACAAUGUGGAUAUUUUACAAGAGCGGACCAGGUAAAGAGACAGUGAACACACCAGUCAGAUGUUAUUCGGUUUUUUAGUGACUUUAUACAGCCUAGCCUACUACUGAUGGAGAAGUCACCGAAGCGGACAUACAGGGAGAGAGAGACGGUAAAACCGUCUGCAAGCUGCCUGGAUUUUUCCUCGUCAUUGUUGUUGGUGGACGAGCCGGUCUUCAGAGUGUCCUGCUGCUCCGACUGCCACUCGCCACGAGUGAUGAGACGCCGCAUCUGGACCAUCACAGGGACAGGAAGUCAGUAAAGAGCAAAAUCAGGCCUGAGUGUAUUGGCGUGCUGAAUGAAUAUUGCAGCUAUAUACAAUUAUACACUUAUUGAGAACGCAUUUUUAAAAUCUGCAGCCCUUUUAGCCAUGUCUGCAGGCUUCAAGAUGUUUUCAUGACUGAAAUUAUAUGUUCAUUACAAUGGCGAAAUCCUUGGCACUUAAUGCUCACUCCUGUUAGGUUUCUGCACUGCGCUCCCAGAAAUAGGGGGUAAUGUUUAUUUCCUUGGAUUUUCAGCAAAUGAAGUUUGAAUUUCUGUAGGUGGCACUCUUUCCUCUGUCUGCACAGUGUGCAGCAGUGCUCAUGUGCACUAUUUAUUCAAACAACUCAUUGUAGGUGCUGCCAGACAUGUAAAAUGUCUCACUUUGUUUGUGCUAGAGUAUUUUUUUUAACAACACGAAACAGCAGUUUACAGCAGCUAAACAUAUAAAAACUUGUUAUAUUAACUAUCUAACUUAACAGAUUAUUGUUGUAAUGGCGGAAUCACAGAUUAAAUAUUUGAUCAU